UUUCCUUUCAUCUUAUAUUUUGAUCAAGGUUCUCUACUCUGAUCACACGUGCCAGUUUAUUUUUCUUUUUAACAUGAACAAUUAAUCAUAAUUAUAUCCUAUUCUUCUGUUAAAAAUGGUGUUUCAUUUGCUUAUUGUUGUGAAGUUUGGGAAAUGUAUUGUAGUUCUUUUCAGCUUAAAUAUGAGCUGCGCUUUCUGCCUCUCUAUUUCUCUCAUGGCAUUAGAAUUGUUAUUAGAGUAUACAUUUUUCUAUUUUGUAUAAUAUGUUUUAGCAGAAUUUUAAAAUUUUUGGUAGCAAAAAUAAUGAAAAUGCUCAAAAGUUACAAGUCAAUUUGGUGCAUGCACAUUUGUUAGCUUGUUGUGCUUGCUUACAGAAUGAAUAGUUUUAUACCAUGCAGACACUAUAUAUGUCAGUCCUAUUCGUAGUUUUGAAAAUGAAGACAUUUUUUUUGAAUCUUGUCUAUAAAAACAAUAUGUAGUCUCUGUAACUGAUACAAGACAUGGGGAAUCUGUUAAGCUCUUUGCUGAGGUUUGAAUUAAAAAAUUUAUAGUAUUAUAUUUCAUAAGAAAUUAUCAACCAGCCUUUUUGGUGCUUGGGGAGAGAUGCAUUGCUUUAUCUGUAAAAUAAUAUUCUUCUUCCAUUGACCUUAUAAUCUCAACAUGUCAAAGACAACUUUGUGUGCUGUCUAUG
rnacentral:misc_RNA from 1 species